rnacentral:rRNA from 1 species
GACAGAGGUGCCGAGCGUUAGGCGGAAUCACUGGGCUUAAAGCGUGUGUAGGCGGGCGGGCAAGUACCUUGUGAAAUCCCACGGCUCAACCGUGGAACGGCUGGGUAUACUGCCUGUCUUGAGCCAACUAGGGGCGAGCGGAACAGACGGUGGAGCGGUGAAAUGCGUAGAUAUCGUCUGGAACGCAAGGUGAAAACAGCUCGCUGGGGUUGUGCUGACGCUGAGACACGAAAGCCAGGGGAGCGAACGGG